GUGGGUGCACGUGCAGCCUCUCCUGGCGGUUCACGCGCCAAAACGGGAAAAAAGUGAAAGUGCUUCGAGAGAGAGAGAGAGAGAGAGAGAGAGAGAGAGAGAGAGCGACGCCCGUGACUGACCAGAGUAGAAUGAUGCUUCACGACCGGUGCUCGCGAGGACGCGUUCGAGAGUGGUCGUUGUUUUUCAGACUGGACGCGCUGGUCCGCACGAUGAUGGACUGAUCGGCGAGUCGAUCGAGGGAGAGAGGGUUGGCACGCGACCAUUCGCCGUGGCAGGAUCCACUCGAGUCGGAUCGUAUCAGGAAGUCCUUCGGUUCCGCUGCGCCAGUAAAAUCCCCCCGGUCACGUGAUCAUCAACCGUAGGGGUUGCGGAAGAAGGGGAGAGCGGAGCGUGCGGUAGUCGGCGAUACUCCGAGGUGACGAGGAGUGCCUCGUGCCGCUACCUCUGCCUCCGUCUCUGUUAAUCGCGAGGCGAGGAGAGAUAAUCGAGGAUUCGUGUGUCGAAGCGCCGCGUGCUCGAUCAAUUGAACGCGAUGUUCGAUCGUGUGUACACGGAUCGGCCGUCCCUGUCGCGAGAAUGAAGAUCGACGAGGGAAGAGUGUACGAGGAGGGUGGAAUCGUUUAGGGCAGUGCACGUUUGGAAACGAUCGGCCGCAAGAUGAACGUGACGGCGAGAAAUCCAGCAAGAUUUUCCACUCGGAUGGACACACUCGGCGGUUACCGCGGACGCGCACGGUGCCGUUAAUCGAUCCGGUCGCGAUUGUUUCGCGCAAUUAUGAGGGCCAAGUGCGAGGCUGGCCAGUGUUCACGAAGGCUCGACCGAUGAUCGAGCAGAUCGUGGACGUUUCGAUCAACGUCCGAUCGGUGAUGGCCUGAUUUCCUUCUGCGGGGAAACAGAAGGUGGAUCGACUACCGAAGCGUGGAACCUUGACACUCGCCGGACGGACGAAUGGGGGUAGGAUCGCUCGAUUGCUCGUCGAUGUAUCGUCCCCAGACACACCACUGCCAGAGAAACGAGAACCCGUUCUAAGUGUUUGUGCCGGGUACGUCGUGCGAACUUGGACUUGGUGCAGCUAACGAGGAACAGGAGGUAUUUUCAUCGUGCACGAGCGAGCGGUAUGAGCGCAUCUGCAUCGAUCUCUGUAUGUUUCUAGCCGACGAUCGUAUACGUCACAGUGUCUUCCGAAAAUAUUAGUUGUCUCGUCCACACGAAGGCGAAAGCAAUCCAUCUCGACAGCCGAGUUCCUCCCGUUAUCGCGAACAACCGCCAGCGUGAAAUCAAAUUUCGUCUUCCUUCGUUGAAACAUAUUAACAAGUUGUAGCUUAAAUAAUAACCUAUAUAUGUAUGUACAUCUUGUAAAA